UGGCGGACGGGUGAGUAACGCGUGGGCAACCUGCCCCAUACACGGGGGAUAACAGUUAGAAAUGACUGCUAACACCGCAUAAGCGCACAGGGCCGCAUGGCUCGGUGUGAAAAACUCCGGUGGUAUGGGAUGGGCCCGCGUCUGAUUAGCCAGUUGGCGGGGUAACGCCCACCAAAGCGACGAUCAGUAGCCGACCUGAGAGGGUGACCGGCCACAUUGGGACUGAGACACGGCCCAAACUCCUACGGGAGGCAGCAG
rnacentral:rRNA from 1 species